rnacentral:rRNA from 1 species
UGGGGAAUAUUGCACAAUGGGCGCAAGCCUGAUGCAGCCAUGCCGCGUGUGUGAAGAAGGCCUUCGGGUUGUAAAGCACUUUCAGCGAGGAGGAAGGUGGUGAACUUAAUACGUUCAUCAAUUGACGUUACUCGCAGAAGAAGCACCGGCUAACUCCGUGCCAGCAGCCGCGGUAAUACGGAGGGUGCAAGCGUUAAUCGGAAUUACUGGGCGUAAAGCGCACGCAGGCGGUUUGUUAAGUCAGAUGUGAAAUCCCCGGGCUCAACCUGGGAACUGCAUUUGAAACUGGCAAGCUAGAGUCUCGUAGAGGGGGGUAGAAUUCCAGGUGUAGCGGUGAAAUGCGUAGAGAUCUGGAGGAAUACCGGUGGCGAAGGCGGCCCCCUGGACGAAGACUGACGCUCAGGUGCGAAAGCGUGGGGAGCGAACAGGAUUAGAUACCCUGGUAGUCCACGCUGUAAACGAUGUCGAUUUGGAGGUUGUGCCCUUGAGGCGUGGCUUCCGGAGCUAACGCGUUAAAUCGACCGCCUGGGGAGUACGGCCGCAAGGUUAAAAACUCAAAGGAAUUGACGGGGUCAUAGCUGUUUCCU